rnacentral:tRNA from 1 species
GGUCGGAAGUUCAAGUCUUCCCGGGCCCACCACACUCAUCGAGUGAGCAUUCGUCUUCUGGUUACGGGGCCAUAGCUCAGCUGGGAGAGCGCGUGCUUUGCAAGCAUGAGGUCGUCGGUUCGAUCCCGUCUGGCUCCACCAGAUGGUUUGAUCAUCGACUGAUCGUGCAUCUAAAUCGUCCGCGAAACAUCACUUCGCACUUACUAGUCCGGAUGGACAGUGAGCUGCGUGAUUUCUGACAUCGUAAAGAGGAGAUCGAUCCGAGUUGGAUCGGGCAACAAGCAAUUGUUGCGCGAUACUUCAUUAUCUCCGGAUCAUUUCGGCGCUCGUGCGUCUUUCAAUGUAGCUCACAAGGCUGCGUUUGAGAGACAUGCGAGUUGUAAAUGAUCCUUUUAGCGAAGCUUGACCGCCUCGCUAUCGGAACGAUCUUACGAAGCAAGCUGGUCUUUCUAAUCAUUGUCCGGCUGUGAGAAUAGCGUUCAUCGAGGACGCGCGCCGCAAGGCAGUUCUUACAGACAACAUUCUGCCGAGUGUGUGGACAUUGAUAAUGAGAGC